CGGAUCUGUCAAUCAGCGCGAGUAAGAUCGAUUUGUUUACCUCAGCAUGAGUUUGAAAAUCACAUUUCAUUGGUUCAGACUCAUGCCAUCAAAAAUUCGCUAUGAAUAUUCACAAAGCUGGAACGCUGCGGAAUGAGGAAGUUGUUGAGGGGAAGCGCGACUGGUGAAGCGAAUAGAGAAAAACGACAUUUUUCAUGGACAAAGGAAAGUCGUAUCUGCUCCUCAGAUCUCCAACUACAUGUCUAAACACUGGGGUGAGCAGAGAAGCAUCAGUCUGCCUAAGAUCUGUUCAAAUCUACUACUGUCUGACUCUCCAUACAGAGACAUCAUUCAAAAUAAGACAAUUUGGAAGCAGGGAGCAAAAGGAAAACAUGAGGAGACGAUGCUGGCUGAUUAAGAGAGCGACUUGGCAGAGCUGCAUUCACCACAGCCAAGCUGAACAGAAAUCAGCACAUGCUUCUCUAUCGACUCUGUUUCUUUUGUGUCUCAUUUCUGCUUUCUCAUAUCCAUACAUGGCUGCAAAUGCUUGCUCUGUGUGUUUGGAGGAGAGGGAAAGUAAAGGUGAUGAUGUUAUACUCCUUACAUACUCAGACACCUCAUCGUUCUUCAUCUGCUAUUGUUUUCAGUUUCACAAAUGCAAUAUCCUAUUGCACACACACUAGUUUCCUGAAGCAAUGUGAAACAUGAUUGUAAAACAAAGUGUUACGCCACAGUCCUGAUCAAAGCAUUUCAUGCAAACACAUACGUCUGAUUAGACCAUCAUCUGGUGUCUGAGACAAAACCCAUUUAAAACCUCUCACUAACACAUUCACACUCAUCCACUCCUGAUUCUAAUCCUACAGCAUCUCUUCAUCCCUUGAGAGAAAGUCUCUAUAGCAACUCCUCAUCCAUCCUCUCACUCCAUGUCUUCAGGGACAAGAUGGCAAGAAAGGGCGUGGCACUGCAAUUUUUCAUUUACAAAACACACACACUUUGAUUUAUUGCUUCAAAACGUCCCUUCACAAGCACAUUCAACCCUACAAACUGAUAUUUCUAAGACCAUUGAGAAAUGGUAAUUCAAAUGUCUCUAUUCUCGUUAUUCAUUUAGAACUUUGACAUUAAAAUGCAGCAAAAUUAAAUUCUACACU